UACGAAGGGGGCUAGCGUUGCUCGGAAUCACUGGGCGUAAAGGGUGCGUAGGCGGGUCUUUAAGUCAGGGGUGAAAUCCUGGAGCUCAACUCCAGAACUGCCUUUGAUACUGAGGAUCUUGAGUUCGGGAGAGGUGAGUGGAACUGCGAGUGUAGAGGUGAAAUUCGUAGAUAUUCGCAAGAACACCAGUGGCGAAGGCGGCUCACUGGCCCGAUACUGACGCUGAGGCAUGAAAGCGUGGGGAGCAAACAGG
rnacentral:rRNA from 1 species